rnacentral:rRNA from 1 species
AGUGAACGCUGGCGGUAGGCCUAACACAUGCAAGUCGAACGGCAGCACAGUAAGAGCUUGCUCUUACGGGUGGCGAGUGGCGGACGGGUGAGGAAUACAUCGGAAUCUACUUUUUCGUGGGGGAUAACGUAGGGAAACUUACGCUAAUACCGCAUACGCCCUACGGGUGAAAGCAGGGGAUCUUCGGACCUUGCGCGAUUGAAUGAGCCGAUGUCGGAUUAGCUAGUUGGCGGGGUAAAGGCCCACCAAGGCGACGAUCCGUAGCCGGUCUGAGAGGAUGAUCAGCCACACUGGAACUGAGACACGGUCCAGACUCCUACGGGAGGCAGCAGUGGGGAAUAUUGGACAAUGGGCGCAAGCCUGAUCCAGCCAUACCGCGUGGGUGAAGAAGGCCUUCGGGUUGUAAAGCCCUUUUGUUGGGAAAGAAAGGCAGCAGGUUAAUACCCCGCUGUUCUGACGGUACCCAAAGAAUAAGCACCGGCUAACUUCGUG